UACGGAGGGUGCAAGCGUUAUCCGGAUUCACUGGGUUUAAAGGGUGCGUAGGCGGAUAGGUAAGUCCGUGGUGAAAUCCUGCAGCUUAACUGCAGAACUGCCAUGGAUACUAUUUAUCUUGAAUAUCGUGGAGGUUAGCGGAAUAUGUCAUGUAGCGGUGAAAUGCUUAGAUAUGACAUAGAACACCGAUUGCGAAGGCAGCUCACUACACGAACAUUGACGCUGAGGCACGAAAGCGUGGGGAUCAAACAGG
rnacentral:rRNA from 1 species